rnacentral:rRNA from 1 species
AUACGGAGGAUGCGAGCGUUAUCCGGAUUUAUUGGGUUUAAAGGGUGCGUAGGCUGUGCGUUAAGUCAGGGGUGAAAUGCCGUCGCUCAACGACGGAGCUGCCCUUGAUACUGGCGUGCUGGAGUACGGAUGCCGUUGGUGGAAUGGGUGGGGUAGCGGUGAAAUGCUUAGAUAUCACUCAGAACACCGAUUGCGAAGGCAUCUGACGAAUCCGUCACUGACGCUGGGGCACGAAAGCGUGGGGAUAGAACAGGAUUAGAUACCCUGGUAUUCCACGCCGUAAACGAUGAUGACUAACCGUCGGCGAUAGACAGCCGGUGGCCAAGCGAAAGCGAUAAGUCAUCCACCUGGGGAGUACGUCGGCAACGAUGAAACUCAAAUGAAUUGACGGGG